rnacentral:rRNA from 1 species
AGUGAACGCUGGCGGUAGGCCUAACACAUGCAAGUCGAACGGCAGCACAGUAAGAGCUUGCUCUUACGGGUGGCGAGUGGCGGACGGGUGAGGAAUACAUCGGAAUCUACUUUUUCGUGGGGGAUAACGUAGGGAAACUUACGCUAAUACCGCAUACGACCUACGGGUGAAAGCAGGGGAUCUUCGGACCUUGCGCGAUUGAAUGAGCCGAUGUCGGAUUAGCUAGUUGGCGGGGUAAAGGCCCACCAAGGCGACGAUCCGUAGCUGGUCUGAGAGGAUGAUCCGCCACACUGGAACUGAGACACGGUCCAGAAUCCUACGGGAGGCAGCAGUGGGGAAUAUUGGACAAUGGGCGCAAGCCUGAUCCAGCCAUACCGCGUGGGUGAAGAAGGCCUUCGGGUUGUAAAGCCCUUUUGUUGGGAAAGAAAAGCAGCAGGUUAAUACCCCGCUGUUCUGACGGUACCCAAAGAAUAAGCACCGGCUAACUUCGUG